AAUUAAAGGGGUUAUUAAGGAAACUAUUCAAAUUUAUAAAUAAGGAGGCUUAUUGCCAAAAUUUUCUAAAUUAAAAUUUCAUUUAUAAUUUUAGGCGCAGCCAGUAAAUGAAAAAUUUAAAUUUUUAAUAGAAAAAAAUCCUAAGGUAAACCAAAAUUAUUAAUUACUUCCUGAAGUAAAACAUUUUAUUAAGGAAAGGAAAGGAAAUCAACCGAGACUCCGAAAGUAAUGGUGAGUGAAAUCGGAACAGCCUAAAUUAUGUUAUAAAAUUGAAAUCUAAAAUAGGUAAAAAUCAUUAGUCCUGUAAAUUUUAUAAGUAAUGAACUCUAAAUAAUAAUAAAAAGUAAAAAAUUUAAACAAAUUUUUGUUAAAGUUAAUUUGUUUGAAAAUUUGAGAGGCCGCCUGUCCAUCCCGUGCCUAACUAAUAAGUUAGAAACGUGGUAUAUUGGUAGUUUGCUUCUCGACAAUAAAAGCCUGCGCUGCAUGCUGUCUAAUACAAAUAUUCUUAUUUAACUGGAAGGAAUGACUAAGUACAAUGAGUGUAAACUUGUUGGAAAACAGGGGAACCAUCCUCUAAGGCUAAGUAUUAUAAAUUUAGUGAUAGUGAAAAGUACUGUAAAGGAAAAGAAUGAAAAAGACAAGUGGUAAACAAUGUGUUGAAAUAGAUAUGAAUUAGUAACUCUAUAAGCAGUCGAAAUUCUAAACAUUCAAUGAAUAACGGCGUACCUUUUGCAUAAUGGGUCAGCAAGUUAAUAAGAGUAGCAAGGUUAAAAGCCCUAGCGAAAGCGACUAAACUAUCAAAUUAAAUAUAAAAUAAACCUAACAAAUAAAAUUUAAACAAUCAAUCUUUUUAAUGAAAAUAUAUAUUUAAUUAUAAUGUAGUGUUGGAUUAGUUACUUUUAUUAGACCCGAAGCCAGGUGAUCUUACCUAGACCAGAUUAUAAUGGAUCGAACGGGUGAAUGUUGCAUUAUUCUCCGAUGAGUUUAGGUAAGCGGUGAAAUGCCAAUCUGACCUGGUGCUAUCUGGUUUUCUACCGAAACAUAUUUUAGUAUGACAUCUACAAAAGGAGAUUUAUGGAGGUACAGAAAGGCAAUUCCAAACAAAAAAAAGAGUUUAAUAAGUUAUAUUAUUUAUUACAUUCAUAAAUCUUUUUGGCGUUUAGGUUGAGGGGAUGUUAAAAUCUUACCUUUGGAAGCGAAACUCGAAAUUACAUAAAUUGAUAGUAGAUAUUCAGACUGCUCAUGCUAAGUUGAGUAGUCAAGACGGAAACAGCCGAGAACACAGAUCAAGGUCCCAAAUAGAUUGUUAAGUGAAAAUCAAGGACGUGACAAAAUCUUAUACAGUUGUGAAGUGAGCUUGGUAGUCGCUACUUAUAAUGAUCGUAUGUAACAACGCAUCAACAGUUUUUAGCUUUGUUACGCCGAAAAUUUAACGGGUCUUAAACAAUCAACCGAUAUCGUGUUGAUAUUGAAUUUAUAAAAUUUUACCCUUCCUAUUAAAAGUUAAACCCCAACCUUCCCACUACUAUAUCUUUGUAAAAGUGGGUAGAAAAGGGUUGUCGUUAACGCUAGGGCUAAAUGUUUAUUCUUUAUCUAGGUAGUAGAACAUUCAGUCAAUCUAUUUAUAAAAUAGUGUUUCAUUAUUUUUUAGGCAACUGAAGAGAGAAUGCUGACAUGAGUAACGUAAAAGAAGAAUAUAAUUCUUCUCGCCGAAAACGAAAGGGUUACAAUAAAAGGUUAAAUCAUUUUGUGUUAAUGCGGCCUCUAAGGACUAUAACCAAAGUUAUGGCUGAUGAGUAUAUUAUAGAAAGUCCAAAAUAAAAUUUUAUUGGGACCAAGAAAAUAAUAUUUGUUUUAGGCUAAUUUUAUUUAUUUAUUUGAUUAAUUAAAAUUAGUUAAUCUUUAAAAUAGUCGGACUUACUUGUUCAAAAGUAGGUAGACACAAUUAUUUAGUUAAUAUUUGAUAAGGAAAGAAAGAGCUGGUAUGUAGAACCGUAAAGGCCCACUCUCCAUCCUUUCAUCAUUAUUUAAAGUUGGAAGGAUAAAAAUAAUGGACUUUAUUAAAUUUAUAAUAAAGAGGUGUAUAUAAUUACCUUGCACCAAUUUAAGGAGUUAAUUUUAUUUAACUUAAUCCCAAAGUAUAAAAAAAGUAUUAAAUUAACACUCUCGCUUUGCUGCGUUUGGUUAAUUUUUUAGUUUUUAUAUAAAUAAAAUUAUUAGUUUAAUUUUUAAGCCUUACUCUCUUCCACUUCUACCACCACAUAAAAGUUCUGCCACUGUCUUUUCGAAAAGGGAGAGUGAGCGAUUGGUGUUGUUCAUUUAAGGAUAAAAGGGGUAGGGUGAGGAAGGGUCUUCAGUUAAGUAGGAAGUUAACCUGCUUCUUAAUGGUUUUUUGAAUAUUGAGGAUAAAAUACUAAACCGAAAUUAGAAACUUAAAUUUUAACUAAUUAUUACCUUAAUUUAUUCUUAUUUUUAAUUAAAUAAUAACUAAUAAAAGGACUAAGAUAAAUAAAAUAUAUAUUUUAUUUAUUUUAGUCUGAAUUGUAAAUAUAUUUAUAUUUUACUUUGUCAAUAUUUAUUGGGCUUGUUUCAAAUACAAAAUUUACUUCUAUAAUUAAACGUUAAAGGAAGAAGCGGCUCUGCAAAUCUAAGGGCUGUGGUUGAAUUAACUAUCUAACCUAAAGGUAGAAGUAUUCACUCAUAAAGUAUAAUUAAAAAUAAUAAACAAUUAAAAAAUUUUGAUUAAACUAACCUUGGAAUAAGUAUUAGACAAAUUAAAAGAAAAUACCCUGCGUUUGUUCUUAGGAUAAAUAUUUGCAGGAAUCUUUGAAGCUUAGCAGUCCCUCUAUUCAGUUGGUCUGUCUCUCGCUUGCGAAGUAAAAUUAAGAUAUAUUUUAGAUUUUAUAAAUUUAUAAAAAUGUUAUUAAAUAACACUACCGUACCCUAAACCGACACAGGUUCGUAGGUAGAGUAUACUAAGGCGUAGAGCUAAAAGUUGUUAAGGAACUCGGCAAGAAUACCUCAUAAGUUUUACAAGAAGAGGUGCCUACUGUUUUUAAAAUUUUUAUUUAAUUUAUUCGGAAUUAUUUAUAAAAUUUUAGAAUGGUAUGGUGACAGAAAAUCGGAGGCCACGACUGUUUACUAAAAACACAGAUCAAUGCAAAGAUGAAAAUCAUAGUAUAUUGGUCGAAAUUUGCUCGAUGCCAUUAAUAUAAAAGAGGUCAUUGAAAAUGUGACUGAUUGAAAGUCUGGUUAAUAGCGGUCUGGAUAAGGCCGUGUGGAUUACUGAACAAAACUAUUUUAGGAAUGCAGUAAAUACACUAAUCACUAUAUGCUAGAAUCCCUUCCGUGUAAUUAUGUGUUUUAUAAUAAUAAGUUUAAUGCUUUAUUAGAAUAUUUAUUAAAAAAAUUAAUAGUCAAAAUUUAGCAUUGUGAGGAAAAUAUAAUAAUAAAUAUAUAAUAUUAUUUUAAAAGUUUAAAAUCGUUAAUUAAGAAAUAGAACAUUUCUAGAUAGGCUGCAAAUGUAAAUAUCGUGAGAUAUGAUUUAUAAUAAAAUAUAAAUUAAAUUAAAGUUAAUUUUUUUUAAGUUUAGCAGUACUAAUUUAUAAAUAAACUUGAUGUUAAAGAUUGUCAUAUUUGUCCUAUUAUUAUCAACUGUCAAAAUGAUAAAAAAGGCCUUUCUUAAAAGAACUAUGGAAAAGUUUAUUUGAGAGAAGGCUGCCAAUUAA
rnacentral:rRNA from 1 species